rnacentral:rRNA from 1 species
UGGGGAAUAUUGCACAAUGGGGGAAACCCUGAUGCAGCGACGCCGCGUGAACGAAGAAGGUAUUCGUAUCGUAAAGUUCUGUCCUAUGGGAAGAUAAUGACAGUACCAUAGAAGAAAGCUCCGGCUAAAUACGUGCCAGCAGCCGCGGUAAUACGUAUGGAGCGAGCGUUGACCGGAAUUAUUGGGCGUAAAGGGUACGCAGGCGGUUUAAUAAGUCGAAUGUUAAAGAUCGGGGCUCAACCCCGCAAAGCAUUGGAAACUGAUAAACUUGAGUAGUGGAGAGGAAAGUGGAAUUCCUAGUGUAGUGGUGAAAUACGUAGAUAUUAGGAGGAAUACCAGUAGCGAAGGCGAGUUUCUGGACACAAACUGACGCUGAGGUACGAAAGCGUGGGGAGCAAACAGG